rnacentral:tRNA from 1 species
GUGGCCUUAGCUCAGUUGGUAGAGCGCCUGACUGUUAAUCAGGUUGUCGCUGGUUCGAGUCCAGCAGGUUACG